GGAUGUGGCUCAGUGGUAGAGCACUUGCCUAGCAAGUGUGAGGCCCUGGGUUCAAUCCCCAACACCA
rnacentral:tRNA from 1 species